AGCGAACGCUGGCGGCAUGCCUAACACAUGCAAGUCGAACGAGACCUUCGGGUCUAGUGGCGCACGGGUGCGUAACGCGUGGGAACCUGCCCUUAGGUUCGGAAUAACUCCCGAAAGGGGUGCUAAUACCGGCUAAUGUCUUCGGACCAAAGAUUUAUCGCCUUUGGAUGGGCCCGCGUUGGAUUAGCUAGUUGGUAGGGUAAAAGCCUACCAAGGCGACGAUCCAUAGCUGGUCUGAGAGGAUGAUCAGCCACACUGGGACUGAGACACGGCCCAGACUCCUACGGGAGGCAGCAGUGGGGAAUAUUGGACAAUGGGCGAAAGCCUGAUCCAGCAAUGCCGCGUGAGUGAUGAAGGCCUUAGGGUUGUAAAGCUCUUUUACCCGGGAUGAUAAUGACAGUACCGGGAGAAUAAGCGCCGGCUAACUCCGUG
rnacentral:rRNA from 1 species